AGUAGAUUGGGAAACUCAUCAAAUUUUAUAGAAAUACCGAGACAAGCUUACUCGCUCGAUGGCGGGCCGCGACUCGAAAGAGGUUGUCGGAAACUCCGACACAGCGGAUUACAAAGAGGAGGAGCACUCAAAUCCUGUCAUUCGGAGUUUCAUCGCAUCCUUUGAUGUGGCAU
rnacentral:sRNA from 1 species